rnacentral:rRNA from 1 species
UACAGAGGUCUCGAGCGUUAGGCGGAAUCACUGGGCUUAAAGCGUGUGUAGGCGGGCCGUUAAGUAUCUUGUGAAAUCCCCCGGCUCAACCGGGGAAUGGCUGGAUAUACUGGCGGUCUUGAGCGAUCUAGGGGCAGAUGGAACAAGUGGUGGAGCGGUGAAAUGCGUAGAUAUCACUUGGAACGCCAAAGGUGAAGACAGUCUGCUGGGGAUCUGCUGACGCUGAGACACGAAAGCCAGGGGAGCGAACGGG